CACCACUUGUACUUUGGCAUGUCGACAUUUGCACAUAAAAGAAAAAGGCAAGCCACUUAUGCUGAACCCAAGAACAAACAAGGGAAUGGCAUUUACUUUACAAGAACGACAAAUGCUUGGUCUUCAAGGACUUCUACCUCCCAAAAUAGAGACACAAGAUAUUCAAGCCUUACGAUUUCAUAGAAACUUGAAGAAAAUGACUAGCCCUUUGGAAAAAUAUAUCUACAUAAUGGGAAUACAAGAAAGAAAUGAGAAAUUGUUUUAUAGAAUACUGCAAGAUGACAUUGAGAGUUUAAUGCCAAUUGUAUAUACACCGACGGUUGGUCUUGCCUGCUCCCAGUAUGGACACAUCUUUAGAAGACCUAAGUAAGGCUUGUUUAAAAAAAAGCUUGUAAAUGAUUAUUGAAUAAGGAAAAUAUCAUUCCAUAACACCCAUUACAUUUCUAUUUUAUGUUUCUUAGCCAAAUCACAUUUCCCACCUCAGAAAAACGUAAUUUUGAUUAAAAGAGAUUAACAAAAUCCCAACAUAUUCAUAACUUUUAUCUUUGUAAAAAUAGCAUAAUUCAUUUCUAAUCUUCUUUAAAUUAUUGUGAUUGUUAGAGGAAUUACAUACAUUCUUCUGGAACCUGCUCCCCCACCAAAAAAAGUCUUAAUUCUGGUGGGAGAUUAUCCAGAAUUAUCA
rnacentral:sRNA from 1 species